rnacentral:rRNA from 1 species
AGGUCUUUCGGGAUGCUGACGAGUGGCGAACGGGUGAGUAAUACAUCGGAACGUGCCUAAGUAGUCGGGGGAUAACUACUCGAAAGAGUGGCUAAUACCGCAUGGGAUCUAUGGGAUGAAAGCAGGGGGACCUUCGGGCCUUGUGCUACUAGAGCGGCCGAUGGCAGAUUAGGUAGUUGGUGGGAUAAAGCUUACCAAGCCUACGAUCUGUAGCUGGUCUGAGAGGACGAUCAGCCACACUGGGACUGAGACACGGCCCAGACUCC